rnacentral:rRNA from 1 species
CGCAGCCGCGGUAAUUCCAGCUCCAAUAGCGUAUAUUAAAGUUGUUGCAGUUAAAAAGCUCGUAGUUGAAUUUCGGGGUUAGUAGGCUGGUCAUGCCACCGGUAUGUACUGGUCUUUCUGAUUCCUCCUUCCUGAUGAACUGUAAUGCCAUUAAUUUGGUGUUGCAGGGAAUCUGGACUGUUACUUUGAAAAAAUUAGAGUGUUUAAAGCAGGCUAACGCUUGAAUACAUUAGCAUGGAAUAAUGAAAUAGGACGCUCGAUCCUAUUUUGUUGGUUUCUAGGAUUGACGUAAUGAUUAAUAGGGAUAGUUGGGGGCAUUAGUAUUCAAUUGUCAGAGGUGAAAUUCUUGGAUUUAUUGAAGACUAACUACUGCGAAAGCAUUUGCCUAAGGAUGUUUUCAUUAAUCAAGAACGAAAGUUAGGGGAUCGAAGACGAUCAGAUACCGUCGUAGUACUUAACCAUAAACUAUGCCGACUAGGGAUCGGAUGAUGUUAAUUUUUAAUGUACUCAUUCGGCGUCC